GGUGUUGUUUUUGCGCGAAUCCGUGCAUCGUAGAUCAAACCCAUAUCUAAAUAUUUAAGGACUAUGUAAAAUAUUACUAAUAGUGCUAAUAUAUAAAAGUGCCCAAGUUUGUAAAAGGAUAUUUAGACUAUACCCACUUUAUUCAAACAAUUUACUACAUGACCAUGUUAAUAUUUUAUUAAUUUUCCUGUACACUGAUUCCUGCCCCAAUAUCUAUGUUCUACUUUUAACAUGUGUGCUGACACAAUAUUCAUUCUCAUUUGACCGAUUUUAUGGGGAACAGUUAUGGGUAGAUAGAUUUGUCAUUAUUAUGUCUUGAAUUUGAAUUGCCCCAAAUCUCUCUACCCAUUUCAUCCGCAUAGUUGGGGUACUUUGCGUGAAUCUAUAUUUUGUUUGCUUGCGGAAGAUAGCUUAUUUUCUCUGCGGAAUAUUUGAAAAAUCAAGGUCGUUCGUUGCGGCGCCGGAGAAGAUGGAAGCAUCGGCGGAGGGGCCUCUUACGCUGUUGAGACCGAACACUAUCAAUGUAACGUCCAACGUGGGCACUUAUUACAAAAUCAAGUAUUUAGAAAUGGUUAAGAGAAUUUUAAAAGAAAAAGGUGGUCAAGGACUAUUAGAUAGAUAUUUAAAUGGUUGUUUUGGAUAUUUGUUGGAUUGGAAUCCUGGUCCAAAAUGUGAAAUGGUCGUGCAUCAUUUAGUGUCUCGUCAAAUUAAGUCCAACGGGGAUGGUAUAUAUUUUUUUUAUUGAAUAAUACCAGGGUGCAUUUUUCUAGGAGAGAUUA